rnacentral:misc_RNA from 1 species
UCCGAGUUGACCCCGGCAGUCUCCUAUGAGUCCCCACCAUAACGCGCUGGCAACACAGGACAAGGGUUGCGCUCGUUGCGGGACUUAACCCAACAUCUCACGACACGAGCUGACGACAGCCAUGCACCACCUGUAUACCGACCACAAGGGGGGCCGUAUCUCUACGGCUUUCCGGUAUAUGUCAAACCCAGGUAAGGUGGGGAUGACGUGAUCGGAUUCUAAG